rnacentral:rRNA from 1 species
GACGAACGCUGGCGGCGUGCCUAAUACAUGCAAGUUGAGCGCUGAAGGUUGGUACUUGUACCGACUGGAUGAGCAGCGAACGGGUGAGUAACGCGUGGGGAAUCUGCCUUUGAGCGUGGGACAACUUUUGGAAACGAAUGCUAAUACCGCAUAAAAACUUUAAACACAUGUUUUAAGUUUGAAAGAUGCAGUUGCAUCACUCAAAGAUGAUCUCGCGUUGUAUUAGCUAGUUGGUGAGGUAAAGGCUCACCAAGGCGAUGAUACAUAGCCGACCUGAGAGGGUGAUCGGCCAAAUUGGGACUGAGACACGGCCCAAACUCCUACGGGAGGCAGCAGUAGGGGAUCUUCGGCAAUUGACGAAAGUCUGAACGAGCAAAGCCGGGUGAGUGAAGAAGGUUUUCGGAUCGUAAAACUCUGUUGGUAGAGAAGAACGUUGGUGGGAGUGGAAAGCUCAUCAAGUGACGGUAACUACCCAGAAAGGGACGGCUAACUACGUG